AUGCAGUCGAGCGGAACGAGUUAUCUGAACCUUCGGGGGACGAUAACGGCGUCGAGCGGCGGACGGGUGAGUAAUGCCUAGGAAAUUGCCCUGAUGUGGGGGAUAACCAUUGGAAACGAUGGCUAAUACCGCAUGAUGCCUACGGGCCAAAGAGGGGGACCUUCGGGCCUCUCGCGUCAGGAUAUGCCUAGGUGGGAUUAGCUAGUUGGUGAGGUAAGGGCUCACCAAGGCGACGAUCCCUAGCUGGUCUGAGAGGAUGAUCAGCCACACUGGAACUGAGACACGGUCCAGACUCCUACGGGAGGCAGCAGUGGGGAAUAUUGCACAAUGGGCGCAAGCCUGAUGCAGCCAUGCCGCGUGUGUGAAGAAGGCCUUCGGGUUGUAAAGCACUUUCAGUCGUGAGGAAGGUAGUGUAGUUAAUAGCUGCAUUAUUUGACGUUAGCGACAGAAGAAGCACCGGCUAACUCCGUGCCAGCAGCCGCGGUAAUACGGAGGGUGCGAGCGUUAAUCGGAAUUACUGGGCGUAAAGCGCAUGCAGGUGGUUUGUUAAGUCAGAUGUGAAAGCCCGGGGCUCAACC
rnacentral:rRNA from 1 species